ACGGGUGAGGAAUACAUCGGAAUCUACUUUUUCGUGGGGGAUAACGUAGGGAAACUUACGCUAAUACCGCAUACGACCUACGGGUGAAAGCAGGGGAUCUUCGGACCUUGCGCGAUUGAAUGAGCCGAUGUCGGAUUACCUAGUUGGCGGGGUAAAGGCCCACCAAGGCGACGAUCCGUAGCUGGUCUGAAAGGAUGAUCAGCCACACUGGAACUGAGACACGGUCCAGACUCCUACGGGAGGCAGCAGUGGGGAAUAUUGGACAAUGGGCGCAAGCCUGAUCCAGCCAUACCGCGUGGGUGAAGAAGGCCUUCGGGUUGUAAAGCCCUUUUGUUGGGAAAGAAAUCCAGCCGGCUAAUACCUGGUUGGGAUGACGGUACCCAAAGAAUAAGCACCGGCUAACUUCGUGCCAGCAGCCGCGGUAAUACGAAGGGUGCAAGCGUUACUCGGAAUUACUGGGCGUAAAGCGUGCGUAGGUGGUUGUUUAAGUCUGUUGUGAAAGCCCUGGGCUCAACCUGGGAACUGCAGUGGAAACUGGACAACUAGAGUGUGGUAGAGGGUAGCGGAAUUCCCGGUGU
rnacentral:rRNA from 1 species